rnacentral:rRNA from 1 species
AGCGUUGUUCGGAAUUACUGGGCGUAAAGGGCGCGUAGGCGGCCUUCUAAGUCGGACGUGAAAGCCCCAGGCUUAACCUGGGAACUGCGUCUGAUACUGGAAGGCUUGGAUUCGGGAGAGGGAUGUGGAAUUCCAGGUGUAGCGGUGAAAUGCGUAGAUAUCUGGAGGAACACCGGUGGCGAAGGCGGCAUCCUGGACCGAGAUCGACGCUGAGGCGCGAAAGCUAGGGGAGCAAACGGGAUUAGAUACCCCGGUAGUCCUAGCCCUAAACGAUGAAUGCUUGGUGUGGCGGGUAUCGAUCCCUGCCGUGCCGAAGCUAACGCAUUAAGCAUUCCGCCUGGGGAGUACGGUCGCAAGGCUGAAACUCAAAG